rnacentral:lncRNA from 1 species
GGCUUGACAAAUCAAAUAUGACUCUUGCACCGAAGUUAUAACUGAACCAAGAAAACAAUAUUACAAUGAUCUAACUAUUCAACCCAUAUGCUCGCAAGGUUAUCUGAUAGGAUAAGAUUGGGACUUCACUUUAAGAGCUACGUACAUGAUUAACUGCUGACUAAUAAAAACUUGACAUAUCAUAGAUGAUCAUUCCACCGAAGUUACAAUUGAUCCACAAAAUGCUAUUGUGAUGAACUCAACAGAAAUUAGAAUAUCAUAAGAUCAGUCCAUCCAUGUGAUAAUGCAACAAUUUUCGAAUUUUCAAUUAGUUCCUUCAAUAUAACUGCAAUACAUACACACACACACACAUACAAUAAUACAUAUCAAAAAGAAAUACCAAAGUCAUUUGAUAAACCACUAAACCUGGAUAUAAUUAUUAGAUCCAUCUUAUUAACCAAGCUAGAUAUUCUUCCUAACCAAGUAGUGGAUUUUUUUGUUAAGCAUCUUAUACAUCAUCAUACACCAUAGAAUGUUCAUCUGUGAGUUGGUCUGCACAAUGAUCGUAAAGUUUCAGUGAAUAAUACUAGCGCAGAUGGAUCCCUCGGGUCAAAGACAUUGAAAGAACAUCAUUCAACCAGAUCAUAUUGUCUCUUAAUAGUGCUGUAUCGACAAAACAUUCUUAAGGCAGCCUAUGAACCUUUAUAGACAUUCCCAAGUGUUUGUCCAAAGUCAACCCUUCUAGCAAGUGAGAAAAGUUUCUAACUUGCUACCAUCUGAUCAUCACUAUACUCUGUAAGCAGCCAUAUGAAUGAGUAAUUC